rnacentral:rRNA from 1 species
AUUGAACGCUGGCGGCGUGCUUAACACAUGCAAGUCGUGCGGUAACAGGCGUAGCAAUACGUGCUGACGAGCGGCGAACGGGUGCGUAAUACAUGGGAAUCUGCCCUUUAGUGGGGAAUAACCCGGCGAAAGCCGGGCUAAUGCCGCAUAAGAUCUUCGGGAUGAAAGCGGGGGAUCGUAAGACCUCGCGCUGAUGGAUGAGCCCAUGUCGGAUUAGCUAGUUGGUGAGGUAACGGCUCACCAAGGCGACGAUCCGUAGCUGGUCUGAGAGGACGGCCAGCCACACUGGGACUGAGACACGGCCCAGACUCCUACGGAGGCAGCAGUGGGGAAUAUUGGACAAUGGGCGAAAGCCUGAUCCAGCGACGCCGCGUGUGUGAAGAAGGCCUGC